CCUACGGGUGGCAGCAGUGAGGAAUAUUGGUCAAUGGACGGAAGUCUGAACCAGCCAUGCCGCGUGCAGGAAGACGGCUCUAUGAGUUGUAAACUGCUUUUGUACAAGGGUAAACCUGAAUACGUGUAUUCAGAUGAAAGUACUGUACGAAUAAGGAUCGGCUAACUCCGUGCCAGCAGCCGCGGUAAUACGGAGGAUCCAAGCGUUAUCCGGAUUUAUUGGGUUUAAAGGGUGCGUAGGCGGAUUGAUAAGUUAGAGGUGAAAGUUCCGGGCUUAACUCGGGAACUGCCACUAAUACUGUUGAUCUAGAGAGUAGAUGCGGUAGGCGGAAUUCAUGGUGUAGCGGUGAAAUGCUUAGAGAUCAUACAGAACACCGAUUGCGAAGGCAGCUUACCAAUCUAUAUCUGACGUUGAGGCACGAAAGCGUGGGGAGCAAACAGGAUUAGAUACCCCGGUAGUC
rnacentral:rRNA from 1 species